UACGUAGGUGGCAAGCGUUGCCCGGAAUUAUUGGGCGUAAAGCGCGCGCAGGCGGCUUCUUAAGUCCAUCUUAAAAGUGCGGGGCUUAACCCCGUGAUGGGAUGGAAACUGGGAGGCUGGAGUAUCGGAGAGGAAAGUGGAAUUCCUAGUGUAGCGGUGAAAUGCGUAGAGAUUAGGAAGAACACCGGUGGCGAAGGCGACUUUCUGGACGACAACUGACGCUGAGGCGCGAAAGCGUGGGGAGCAAACAGG
rnacentral:rRNA from 1 species